rnacentral:SRP_RNA from 16 species
ACUCAGUAGAUCUGCCGUUGCAAGACUGCGGUUCGCGGAGGGUGUCCAAGAGGAAUUUCGGACGUCCUUCGUGCUGAGGAGAUUGGGCGCAUCGCUGGAGGCGAGCAAUCGAGCACAGAAAAGUCCCCGCCGUGGCCAGUGCAACGAAAACGGAACU